rnacentral:rRNA from 1 species
UACGUAGGUGGCAAGCGUUAUCCGGAUUUAUUGGGCGUAAAGAGAACGCAGGCGGUCUUUUAAGUCUGAUGUGAAAGCCUUCGGCUUAACCGGAGUAGUGCAUUGGAAACUGGGAGACUUGAGUGCAGAAGAGGGGAGUGGAACUCCAUGUGUAGCGGUGAAAUGCGUAGAUAUAUGGAAGAACACCAGUGGCGAAAGCGGCUCUCUGGUCUGUAACUGACGCUGAGGUUCGAAAGCGUGGGUAGCAAACAGG